GUGCUUUAGGACACCGGCACUGCUCUUGCAGCAUCACCAGACGCAGGUCUCGCACAUCAGCCGCAGGCAGUUCCGAGCAGAGACCUUGGCGGUGCUGGGUCCUUACUAUUUCCAGCCACAAGGAAAUGUUUAAAAAGCAGCCUGUCCUGAUUUGCUAUGACACGAGCUUUGCAGGGGUCAUGCAGCCCGGGAAGAGUGAUCAAAACAGCAGACAAGGAUGUUUUUAGAACAAAACCAGGAGCUGGGUGGUUACAUGCUAGCACCUGACCCCUAGCUGACAAGUCCCUAGGACCCGAAGGCGAAAAGACCCGGAUGUUCUGCCAGUUCACAGCCCAUGUCUUCACUCUUCCUCUCCUAUCCACGCGUGUGACCAGCACUGCUGCCGCCCCACUGCCUGAAACGCUCAUGUAUGCCAUCAUCUCCUCGUAGUGCAGCAAGUGGGCAUCCUGCUCUGGGGGCUGACACGGGCUAAGCGGCAUCUUCUUCCUUACAGAGAAGCACAACCCCAUCAGCUAUGAUUUUAAAAUACCUGGUGAUGAAAAUUCAUCCCAGUACCUAGACAAAAGCUCCUGUUUUGUGGAUGGAAACCACAAGCAGAGGCAUGGACAGACUGCUGGCACUGCUAACGCCCACAGCAACCACUGCUAAAUGCCACAGAAACCAGCCGUCAAAGCCCUAAGGUUUCUUGAAAUGUAGUCCUUGCUCGAAAACUGUCCUCUCUUCAGCAAGAAACACUGCUUAGAUCCUUCUGUUUAGUUUCACCAGUAUAAACUGUGAAGAUAAAGCAUAUUCAUUUAGUACUGUAAGGACUGAUUAAUAAACAUGGGCAAAAAACCAACAGCAACUUCAUUUCACCAGAAAACACAGAUUCAAGUCAACUGGCAUUCUUCGCAAUACUAUAAGGACUUUUUUUUUCCAGUAAGCUUUUUUCAGUUAAAAAGA